rnacentral:rRNA from 1 species
GAUGAACGCUGGCGGCGUGCCUAAUACAUGCAAGUCGAGCGAACGGACGAGAAGCUUGCUUCUCUGAUGUUAGCGGCGGACGGGUGAGUAACACGUGGAUAACCUACCUAUAAGACUGGGAUAACUUCGGGAAACCGGAGCUAAUACCGGAUAAUAUUUUGAACCGCAUGGUUCAAAAGUGAAAGACGGUCUUGCUGUCACUUAUAGAUGGAUCCGCGCUGCAUUAGCUAGUUGGUAAGGUAACGGCUUACCAAGGCAACGAUGCAUAGCCGACCUGAGAGGGAGAUCGGCCACACGUGAACUGAGCCGCGGUCCAGACUCCUACGGGAGGCAGCAGUAGGGAAUCUUCCGCAAAGGGCGAAAGCCUGACGGAGCAACGCCGCGUGAGUGAUGAAGGGCUACUGAUCGUAAAACUCUGUGAUUAGUGAAGAACAGAUGUGUAAGUAACUGUGCACAUCUUGACGGUACCGAAUCAGAAAGCCACGGCUAACUACGUG